CUCUUGCCUGGAGAGUCCCAUGGAUGGAAGAGCCUGGUGGGCUGCAGUCCAUGGGGUCGCACAGAGUCAGACACGACUGAGGCGACUUAGCAGCAGCAGCAGCAGUACUUCAUGGUGCAGACUGUACUAUACAUUUCAAGCCAGGAGGACACUUCAGUUGUAACAAUAAAAAAUAUCCUAACAAAUUUACACCUCUUUAAAUUAGGGAAGUGAAAGUGAAGUCGCUCAGUCGUGUCCGACUCUUUGUGACCCAAUGGUCUGUAGCCUACCAGGCUCCUCAGUCCAUGGGAUUUUGCAGGCAAGAAUACUGGAGUGGGUUGCCAUUGCCUUCUCCAGGGGGUCUUUCCAACCCAGGGAUCGAACCUGGGUCUCCUGCAUUGCAGGCAGAUGCCUUACCCUCUGAGCCACCAGGGAAGCCCCAAAUUAGGGAAGUAUUACCCCCUAAUUUAGAACCACUGAGGAACACCAUGAAUAUGAUCUCAAGCAGCCAAUGUUAGUGCUACCCACAAGUGUAGACUUGAAUUGCUCAGGGUCAUAAAUGCACUGUUCUAAGGUCUGCUGUAUUAUCUGAUACAGUAACUACAAUCCUAUCCACAUGAGUAUUUAAAUUUAAAUAUAAAUUAGUUAAAACAAAAUCAAAUAUUCAUUUUCUCAGUUGAGCUAGUCACGGUCCCAGUGCUGAACAGCUACAUACAGACUACAGUGUAAGUCAAACACAUAGUGAAGUUGAGAAGUUGUGGUAGAGAUGUAAUGUUUUAAAAAAAUCUGUUCGUGCAAUGAUGCCACUAAAUCAGUCAAUAUUUUAUAUUUGACAGAUAAAAUAUUGUGUAACUCCUGUUCUUGAAGAAAUUGACUCAGCUCCUCACCAUGCGUCACUGACAAAUUCUGCAUUUCUUGGGCUUGAGAAGGAUAUUGGUCCCCACCUACUCACUAAGACAGAGGACCUCAAUCGUCCUUCAACAACAUCUGGAGCUGGGGCUGGAAGAAAUCCCUUGGGGCCUCCAAGCUUACUGCCCAGGAAAGAAGAGCCACAGUUUCCUCUGUGGGUGGCUGGAUCAGCCAACGCUGUCCCUCACUCUGUCCGUAAUGGUCAGUCAGCCAAGGAAAGAGGCCUCGAGACUUUAUCUCUCUGGUUGUCAAGCUUUGACUUCACUCUCAGCAAACCGGACUUCAACAAACUAGGUUCCUGGCAAACAAGCAUGUGCUCAAACUGAAAACAGGAAUUCAGAGGAAGGAUCUCAGUCUCUAGUUUGGCCUACUCAUCUGCACCAAAAAAUAUCAAAGAAGUUUUAUUCAAGCAGAGCUAACACUAUCAGCAAGUAUCAUUCUAAAGCCAAUAUGGUGCAUGACAAUAGGAAUCACAAGUAAUGUCAAGGCAAAGUGAGACACAGGAGGAGAGAGUUGCUUUCAGGAUAAGUCCUUUAUCCUCCUCACCUGAAAAUACCCAUUUCAGUGUGAAUUUUGGAGUUCCAGAGUUUUAUUUUACUGACAAAUGUGGCUUUUAUGUACUGUAUUCCCUUGUAAAUUCUGCACACUGUUGCAUUUUUCCACAAGUGGCAAAGUCCACUUUGUCACUGGAUAAAGAUAAAUUCACUACUUCAAUAAUCUGCAAAGAGCACAAAAGUAUCAAGAGCAUCUUGUAGUCAUAAGAGGAAGUGGAGAAUAUGAUCCGUUAGUAUGCAUUUUGUGUAAUGACUUGAGAGUAUAUUCUACAUUAAAAUGCACUGUGUUUAAAUUUCAUUUUAUCUACAUUCCACUCUCAAACUUCCACACCAUGUUCUUUGGAAUAUAUUUAAUGUCUAAGAUCUGCAAGUUCUCACCUACACAAACUCUGCAGCCAGCAAGUGGUUUAUUAAACUACAGCUUUGAGGUACCACUCACAAAACAGAAAGGGAAACUGUUUUCUUUAUGUUCUGCAGGGAACUAAGACAGAUGGAAGUAGAUAAUUUCCAUGGACACCCUUGCAGUCAUCAUGAUUAAUUUUAUUGGCCAGAUUCCUCAGAUUUGAAAGCCUUGAAAGAGGGGUGUUGAAACUGUCAUGGUAACAUCUAAUUAAGAAGGAAAUAGAGCCUUAAGAGAAGUACUGACUCUCCUUUUCAUCAAAGAAUAGUAAGUUAUAUAAAGAAGGCACCAAAUCCUCGGUAGGUAACCCAGCCUUUCUGAUACCUUUGUAACCUCUUCCCAAUGGUCACCAGCGCACACAGCUACACAUGUACACCCACAUGCACAAAUGCAUGCCCUGAAUUAAUUAUUUAAGCCAAUCCUUUUCAACUAGAAUGUUUCAUCUAGCCUUCCUGGUAAUGACUGAUAGAUACCUAGAUAGAUACUUGCAACCUCAGGUAGGUGAAGCUAAAAGAUUUAUAUGAUUUUAUCAUUUUAUCCAAGUCCAUAUUUUAAAGUUCACAUUUAAACAAAUACACACAUACAUAUUACACAUAUGUAUACAGAGAGGAAAUUCUAACACACAUGUCCCUAGAUAAUAGUCAGAAUAUCUGAACUAUGGCCAGGAGAUUAAGCAUAAAGAUCAGGAUGUUUCAGCACUAUUAUAUCUGUUACCACAAAAGUCAGACACAAAUAAUUACAUUUUCUAGAGAGUGAAAAUACAAUGAAUACUUAUGAUCUUUGCUCUUUUUAUUACCCUCAUAAGCACCUAAUAUGAUUUACAAAUAGUCUAUUUAUUAAAACUAUAAAUAUGUCUGUAUUUAUAUAUUACAGAUGAGAAAAAAGUUGUCUCUGUACUGAAGGAGUUGAGUAAAUGCUGAUUCUUCAUGGAAACUGGUAGUUUAUGUAUUCUUUGAGAAAUUUUGAAUUAAUAAAAAUUCAAAUAGUAAGAGAAUUGAAACAUAGUAAUAGUAGUGCUUAGGAUAAAAUUAUCACACCAAUAAGCAAUUUUGUAUAUCUUCUCUUUUUUUAAAAAAAAAAAUGUGCCUGGGUAUAUUUGUUGUUAAUUUAAAAUGACCCUUAUCUCAGGGACAAAAUUGCAGGAAAAUUUGGCUUUGCCUUAGAGAAAAUAGAACAUACACAUGUAUUGAUGCAAAUAAGAAUAAUACAUGUUUUGUAGAAAAUUAUUUUCCUUCAUGAAGAUUGUUCUCUACUCCUGCCUUGACUUAGUUUGUAUUUGUUUGAUUAGGUUGUAAUGCAAAAUGUACCAUAAUGUUAUCCCUCUCAGGAUAACGCAAAGGGGAACAUAAACUGCAAUUCUUUUGGUAUAAGAAAUGCUUGGAAAUUAAGUCAUGGCUUCUAACCUUCUGAGUCAUGUUCUUUAUUUGACAGACUAUACUGUGUUUGAGCACUAAAUAAUAAGAAAGAAAUCAUCAACUACAUCGUUGAUUAUUACUGUAUUUACAUCAGUUAUACCUGAACAAAAGUCAUAAAUUCAGAGCCUCUCUUCUGUAUUUCAAGCUGCUUUAGAGGCUUUGCUUCUCAUACUUCAGCAGGUAUUUGAUCACCUGGGCUUCAUUCCAGAAUUGUGAUUUUACUCAGGCCUGCGUGUGGCCUAAGAACCUGCACAUCUACCAGGAGAUGGAGCUGUUGCUGGGCAAGGGACCUGACUUUGAGGGCCACCAAUAAAAUGUAACCUCAUUAAAACAGUCAGGUCUUACCUUUUAGGCAGAUGUAUUUGAGUCAUUGCAUUUCUAUGUAUUUCAGUAAUAGCUAUAGCUUGCAAAAUAUAAAAUCUAUUAUAUUCAAUAAAAAGUAAUAAAAUGUGCUUUCUUUUCCUUCACUGCAAGCACAGUGCACAUUUGUCAGUUCAACAAUCUAAGAAGCCAGUAGGAAGGGCUUUCAGAGUCAAAACUUGACCUUACAUCCUUUAUUGAAGGAUUACACGUAAAAACCAGCUGUCAAUAAACAGUUGCGUUGUUUUUUGCCAUUCCUACAAUACUCUGGGCUAAAACAAAACUUUAUAAAUUUAAAGCUCAUGAUUGCCACCUGCUGACACAUUUUUGAAUUACAAGUAGUCUGCAUGGUUGGUAUAUAUUGUGUUCAGAUUUGGGGGUUUUGUAUCUUCCUUUCCAAAACCCAUUAGGUAAAUUUUAUAUCUGACUUUAUAC